rnacentral:sRNA from 1 species
UACCUUCGAGGGUGACCACCAUCGUGUG